rnacentral:rRNA from 1 species
CCUACGGGUGGCAGCAGUGAGGAAUAUUGGUCAAUGGACGAGAGUCUGAACCAGCCAAGUAGCGUGAAGGAUGACUGCCCUAUGGGUUGUAAACUUCUUUUAUAUGGGAAUAAAAUGUUCCACGUGUGGGAUUUUGUAUGUACCAUAUGAAUAAGGAUCGGCUAAAUCCGUGCCAGCAGCCGCGGUAAUACGGAGGAUCCGAGCGUUAUCCGGAUUUAUUGGGUUUAAAGGGAGCGUAGGUGGAUCGUUAAGUCAGUUGUGAAAGUUUGCGGCUCAACCGUAAAAUUGCAGUUGAAACUGGCAGUCUUGAGUACAGUAGAGGUGGGCGGAAUUCGUGGUGUAGCGGUGAAAUGCUUAGAUAUCACGAAGAACUCCGAUUGCGAAGGCAGUUCACUGGACUGCAACUGACACUGAGGCUCGAAAGUGUGGGUAUCAAACAGGAUUAGAUACCCCAGUAGUC